rnacentral:rRNA from 1 species
GAGUAAUGCUUGGGAACAUGCCUUGAGGUGGGGGACAACCGUUGGAAACGACGGCUAAUACCGCAUAAUCUCUACGGAGCAAAGGGGGCUUCGGCUCUCGCCUUUAGAUUGGCCCAAGUGGGAUUAGCUAGUUGGUGGGGUAAUGGCUCACCAAGGCGACGAUCCCUAGCUGGUUUGAGAGGAUGAUCAGCCACACUGGGACUGAGACACGGCCCAGACUCCUACGGGAGGCAGCAGUGGGGAAUAUUGCACAAUGGGCGCAAGCCUGAUGCAGCCAUGCCGCGUGUGUGAAGAAGGCCUUCGGGUUGUAAAGCACUUUCAGCAAGGAGGAAAGGGUGUAAGUUAAUACCUUGCAUCUGUGACGUUACUUGCAGAAGAAGCACCGGCUAACUCCGUGCCAGCAGCCGCGGUAAUACGGAGGGUGCGAGCGUUAAUCGGAAUUACUGGGCGUAAAGCGUACGCAGGGCGGUUUGUUAAGCGAGAUGUGAAAGCCCCGGGCUUAACCUGGGAACUGCAUUUCGAACUGGCAGGCUAGAGUGUGAUAGAGGGUGGUAGAAUUUCAGGUGUAGCGGUGAAAUGC